rnacentral:rRNA from 1 species
GAUGAACGCUGGCGGCGUGCCUAAUACAUGCAAGUCGAGCGAACAGAUGAGGAGCUUGCUCCUCUGACGUUAGCGGCGGACGGGUGAGUAACACGUGGAUAACCUACCUAUAAGACUGGUAUAACUUCGGGAAACCGGCGCUAAUACCGGAUAAUAUAUUGAACCGCAUGGUUCAAUAGUGAAAGACGGUUUUGCUGUCACUUAUAGAUGGAUCCGCGCCGCAUUAGCUAGUUGGUAAGGUAACGGCUUACCAAGGCAACGAUGCGUAGCCGACCUGAGAGAGUGAUCGGCCACACUAGAACUGAGACACGGUCCAGACUCCUACGGGAGGCAGCAGUAGGGAAUCUUCCGCAAUGGGCGAAAGCCUGACGGAGCAACGCCGCGUGAGUGAUGAAGGUCUUCGGAUCGUAAAACUCUGUUAUUAGGGAAGAACAAAUGUGUAAGUAACUAUGCACGUCUUGACGGUACCUAAUCAGAAAGCCACGGCUAACUACGUG